rnacentral:rRNA from 1 species
CACGUAGGGCGCAAGCGUUGUCCGGAAUUAUUGGGCGUAAAGAGCUCGUAGGCGGACUGUCACGUCUGCUGUGAAAAGCUGGGGCUUAACCCUGGCCUUGCAGUGGAUACGGGCAGACUAGAGGUAGGUAGGGGAGAAUGGAAUUCCCGGUGUAGCGGUGAAAUGCGCAGAUAUCAGGAGGAACACCGGUGGCGAAGGCGGGUCUCUGGGCCGUAACUGACGCUGAGGCGCGAAAGCGUGGGGAGGCAAACAGG